rnacentral:tRNA from 1 species
UGCAAUUAUCAGGAAUUGUAAAUUCCUAAAAGGUCUACCAAUUGCAU